GCCGGGCCGGGCGGCGGGUGCUGGAGUACCAGGCUCAGGAGGAGAGGCGUCUAGGGAGGUGUCCACUCGUAAACUAGCAGUUUGCCGGACCGCGUUUGCUGAUCCACUGUGAAAUCCCUGCGCCGCUUUUACAUUACAGUGCCCAGGACAGCAGCUAAGCUGUUUAGGGGUCAAAAUGUUUUCUACUGGCAAGUUAUCAUAGCAAGUGUCACUUGUUGCCACUGGACUCCAUCCUGCAAAGGGACAUUUAUCUGUGUCGUACAAAAUCAUAACUAGUAUUCAAACCAACAACUGUGAUAAAAUGCAACUAUUUUGGC
rnacentral:lncRNA from 1 species